AAAGGGAGAACACUGAAGACAGUGUUUGCUAGUGGGAUUUAGUCCAUUUUUAUUGACAGGAUUGCACUCCUGAUGUCAGCUGAAGAGAGAAAUGGUGCCUCAUAGAGUGUCCUCGGCUUACCUUUCUGUCUGGAGGGUGCCUACUCAAUUCAAGAGUAAAACGUUUUUGAGAGAAGACCCAAUUUUCCUAUUUUGCCAUUCCAGUGGUUUUUGGCAAGCCAGGACACCUGUUCGUCCUUUCGGAAACUGAUCUAGCUGUCAUGUUUGCCUUAGCUGAGCCAGGAACUGCACCCACACAGGCUCUUUGUUGGGCCAGUCAAAUCUCUGUUCAUUUACUAGGAAACUUCUCUUUCUCCUCGAGUUUUCCUAGAGAAAGAUAUUUAUACAUGUAUUUGUACAUGGAUUUCUCCUAUAAAAUGAUGACAGUGUGGAUUUUGAUUUGACUUUUCUCCAAGAUGAUGCCUCUUAAGUCACCCUUCUUAUUUUAUUGUUAUUAUUUCUAUGAAAUCAUUUAACUGGAACCUUUCUAACUACACAAAUCAUCUACAUCUGCAGAGUCUUCACUGCUCCUUCACUAAGAAAUCUUACACCACAACAGAUCAUAGUGAUUAUACUAUGUAAUUUUGAAACUUAUAGCAUUUAAAAAUAUAUCUGUGGCUCAAAAAAUAAAUUCAAGGUCCUUUUCUGAUAUGAAA
rnacentral:lncRNA from 1 species